rnacentral:rRNA from 1 species
AGUGAACGCUGGCGGUAGGCCUAACACAUGCAAGUCGAACGGCAGCACAGUAAGAGCUUGCUCUUACGGGUGGCGAGUGGCGGACGGGUGAGGAAUACAUCGGAAUCUACUUUUUCGUGGGGGAUAACGUAGGGAAACUUACGCUAAUACCGGAUACGACCUACGGGUGAAAGCAGGGGAUCUUGGGAGCUUGCGCGAUUGAAGGAGCCGGUGUCGGAUUAGAUAGUUGGCGGGGUAAAGGCCCACCAAGGCGACGAUCCGUAGCUGGUCUGGGAGGAGGAUCAGCCACACUGGAACUGAGACACGGUCCAGACUCCUACGGGAGGCAGCAGUGGGGAAUAUUGGACAAUGGGCGCAAGCCUGAUCCAGCCAUACCGCGUGGUGGAAGAAGGCCUUCGGGUUGUAAAGCCCUUUUGUUGGGAAAGAAAAGCAGCAGGUUAAUACCCCGCUGUUCUGACGGUACCCAAAGAAUAAGCACCGGCUAACUUCGUG